rnacentral:ncRNA from 1 species
AAACAUAAAGUUUUGGUCUUAAACUUUCUGUUAAUUUUAACCAAAAUUAUACAUGCAAGUAUCCGCCCACCAGUGAAAAUGCCCACUUAAUAUUAGGAGCAGGUAUCAGGCACAAACUAUUUAGCCUAAAACACCUUGCUAUGCCACACCCCCACGGUAUUCAGCAGUAAUAAAAAUUAAGCCAUAAGCGACAAAUUAUUUUAACAAGCUAGACUUAGUUAUGGUUUUAAGGGCCGGUCAAUCUCGUGCCAGCCACCGCGUUAUACGAAAGGCCCAAAAUAACAGACAUCGGCGUAAAUAGUGACUAAAAUAUUACUUAAAAAAUAAGAAAUAAACAACAAUCUAAAAGUAAAAUUAAGAAAAUAUGAAAUCUCCCCUCUUAAAUAAAAGUAAUUUGAUUCACGAAAGCUGGGAAACAAACUAGGAUUAGAUACCCUACUAUGCCUAGCCAUUAACUGACACCCAUUAACUAAAGUGUUCGCCAGAAUAUUACGGGCGAAAAGCCUAAAACUCAAAAGACUUGGCGGUGCUUCAUACUCACCUUAGAGGAGCCUGUCCUAUAAUCGAUACUCCACGAUAUACCCGACUACUUUUUGCAAACUCAGCCUAUAUACCGCCGUCGCCAACUUACCCUGUGAAGGAAAAAUAGUAGGUAAAAAGUCUACCACACAAACGUCAGGUCAAGGUGUAGCUUAUAAAGUAGAAGAGGUGGGCUACAUUUUUUAAACAAAACACUACGACAUAGUGCCCUGAAACUAGCACUUAAAGGAGGAUUUAACAGUAAAAUAAGAAAGAAAACUUAUUUUAAAUUUGCUCUGAAGCGCGCACACACCGCCCGUCACCCUCCUCACAAACAACUUAAAAUACAUAAUAAAACAAAACAAAAAGAUGAGGUAAGUCGUAACAUGGUAAGCGCACUGGAAAGUGUGCUUAGAUAACAAAAAGU